CCUACCCGAGCUCUUGAAUCAAACCUCAAAUCUAAUCCUCAUACCUAACCUUCAAACCUGACCUAACUAAUCCAUCAUCCUUUGUUCAGAGUGGUAAGAAGAUCGAGAGCGGCAUUAGGAAUAUUGUGAAAAUGAAUCGAUGCUAUGUUUUGAGCUCUGGCAAUGAUUGAAGUUCAGGGACUCAAGCAUCAUAUGGCUAUCCCGAGGAACCGAGCAGGGUACAGUCGAACGUGGUUCCAAUUUUAACCCACUCUGAUCAUGUGAUUUAAUUACCACCCCAACACUGUAGAAUUAGGGGUGGGUUAGGGAUUAGAUUAGGGGAUAGAAGGUUACGGGGGUAAGUAAGGGGGUUAGUUAGGGGGUUAGAGCACGAGAAAAAUCAAAAAAUCCCUCCUCCUAGAGGAUGAUUAGUGAUCAUCUGGGUGGUGUUUUAGUGACAUUAAAGUUGAUCGUGGUUCAAAAAAUUAUGUGGGUGCAGUUUUUGAACCCUGAUCAACUUUGAACCAUGUGGGUUUGAACCACGCUCAAGCUUUUUUAAACCACCCGAAAACCAGGGUUGCCUGACAAGCAUUAGCACCAAGAUCUUCUCACUGAACUCCAGUAUCGUGGUCUAAUAGAAUGAAAGAGUAGAAAGCUUACUAGUAUUCUUUUCAAUAUUAGGGCUCGGUGUCAUCUGAUGGUGAUGAAAUUGACUACCUUGCAUAUGACCCUUUUGUAUAUGCAUUUUUUCUAGAAGAAUGGUUUUAUAGAGGUGACUCAGGUAAGUGAGAAAGCAGAGGACCGUAUCCCACAACUCCGCAACAAACAGAUAAUUAUUCACAAAGAACAUUAAUGGCAGAAGUAAAAAGGAAGGAAUUGUUAUUAUUGAUGCAUAGGAAAUGGCGUGCUAGUGUCUAAUAGGAAAAGAGGAUGUUAGGCAUAGGGCAAGUGCUGCAGAGUUCUAUCACUUUUACUCCCCGUCGACACAGUCUCCCAUCACGGGUUGAGGUGCCAAGCUAUUGUCUUCCCCUUUCUUGGGAAUGCCGUUUACUCGGCCCCAUCGAAAGGCCCUCCCUCUCAAGUCCGGAACAACCUGAAGGAAAAUAAGACUGCUCAUCCAGGUGGCUAAAGUGUCGAAAAUGGCGUUGUUCCUAUAACUACCCCCCAUUGAAUUUGCUUUCAUGAUCGUGCCUACCGCCAUUGUUGUAAUCAUGUAUUGGCCUCUUUCGAGCCCCCUGAUAGAAAUCGCGGCAACUUCGUCUGGUGUUUGUGGCUUGUCAGACUCUUCAAGGUGUUUUGUCACGGCAGGCUUCAUUCUCUGUUCAUGGACAAAUCCAGGGCUCAAAAUUCCCAUCGGGAAGACGAUAUGGGUUCUCACAUCCGCAGCAGGAGCGUUGAGGGACGGGUUUCUUCGGGAGCCAUUAUAAAUCUCGAUCUCAGAAGUCAAGGCAUCCGCGAGGGCGCGUAGGGCUGCUUUUGCUGGCGCGUAUGGCGCGUACCCAGCCACCGGGACAAAGCAUGCAGUGGAGCUAGUAAAGAUCAAAUGACGACGAGGUGGCUGUUCUGGAGAUUGACCAGUAGAGGCCGGAGCUAACCACCGCUUCAUAAUAGCCCUUGCAGUAUAUGCUGAGGCCCAAAAAUUGGUGUCCAUCUGCGCUCUCAAGGUCUCAAGAGAAGAAUGGAGGAAGAACCCAGGCAAACACUGUCCAACGCAGCACCAGACAAUAUCGGGAUACACUCCGUCGUUGAACUCGGUAACUUCGUCCAUGACACGUUCAGAUUCCUUGGGGUCGGUCAAAUCGGCUUUGAUCCAGUGAAAUUUCUGAUCGCACAUAGGAGGGGCGAAUGUCUAACCAUUGGUUUUCGCGUCACCAAUACUGUCUUUUCGGAGACAAUGAUAAUGUAUCAAGCAGGAACGAGCCUACCUUCAUGGCUUCAUAGACAGCUUGUAACUUGUUCACAUCGCGGCCGACGAUUGUUACACUGGCCCCUUUUUUGGCUAACUCCAUAGCGACACUUUUGCCCAUGCCAUCCGAACCACCCGUAACAACCGCCAUCUAUAUACGCCAUCAGCGUCAGCUACUGGGAACAAAGCAAACGAAAAGAUUAACGAAAUUCGAUCCAAAUACAAACCUUCCUCUCCACAACGAACUCAUUUGUGGUCUUGUAGAAGUUACGCAUACUGACGGCUAAGCAUAUGGAUACUAUCAAAAGAAUGACUGAAGCGACUAGCUGGGGUUUUGACAACGAAACAUCAGAGCCCACUGGGGAGAGGGAUAGCAGAGUGGCGCGUAAAUCCGGCAUCGCGGAGAAGGAAUCGGACGGCGACGCACGACGAGGAAAGGGCGUUCUGGGAGGCGUUGGUUCUUCCCACCACGUUCAAUAUCCAACUGCUUAUUUCUACCUGCAACGCAAGAAAUGUUAAUGUUAACAACC
rnacentral:sRNA from 1 species